rnacentral:rRNA from 1 species
AUUGAACGCUGGCGGCAGGCCUAACACAUGCAAGUCGAGCGGUAACACAGAGAGCUUGCUCUCAGGUGACGAGCGGCGGACGGGUGAGUAAUGUCUGGGGAACUGCCUGAUGGAGGGGGAUAACUACUGGAAACGGUAGCUAAUACCGCAUAAUGUCGCAAGACCAAAGAGGGGGACCUUAGGGCCUCUUGCCAUCGGAUGUGCCCAGAUGGGAUUAG